rnacentral:rRNA from 1 species
GAUGAACGCUGGCGGCGUGCCUAAUACAUGCAAGUCGAGCGAACGGACGAGAAGCUUGCUUCUCUGAUGUUAGCGGCGGACGGGUGAGUAACACGUGGAUAACCUACCUAUAAGACUGGUAUAACUUCGGGAAACCGGAGCUAACACCGUAUAAUAUUUUGAACCGCAUGGUUCAAUAGUGAAAGACGGUCUUGCUGUCACUUAUAGAUGGAUCCGCGCUGCAUUAGCUAGUUGGUAAGGUAACGGCUUACCAAGGCAACGAUGCAUAGCCGACCUGAGAGGGUGAUCGGCCACACUGGAACUGAGACACGGUCUAGACUCCUACGGGAGGCAGCAGUAGGGAAUCUUCCGCAAUGGGCGAAAGCCUGACGGAGCAACGCCGCGUGAGUGAUGAAGGUCUUCGGAUCGUAAAACUCUGUUAUUAGGGAAGAACAUAUGUGUAAGUAACUGUGCACAUCUUGACGGUAACUAAUCAGAAAGCCACGGCUAACUACGUG